GUGAUCGGCCACACUGGAACUGAAACACGGUCCAGACUCCUACAGGAGGCAGCAGUAGGGAAUCUUCCGCAAUGGGCGAAAGCCUGACGGAGCAACGCCGCGUGAGUGAUGAAGGUCUUCGGAUCGUAAAACUCUGUUAUUAKGGAAGAACAUACGUGUAAGUAACUAUGCACGUCUUGACGGUACCUAAUCAGAAAGCCACGGCUAACUACGUGCCAGCAGCCGCGGUAAUACGUARGUGGCAAGCGUUAUCCGGAAUUAUUGGGCGUAAAGCGCGCGUAGGCGGUUUUUUAAGUCUGAUGUGAAAGCUCACGGCUCAACCGUGGAGGGUCAUUGGAAACUGGAAAACUUGAGUGCAGAAGAGGAAAGUGGAAUUCCAUGUGUAGCGGUGAAAUGCGCAGAGAUAUGGAGGAACACCAGUGGCGAAGGCGACUUUCUGGUCUGUAACUGACGCUGAUGUGCGAAAGCGUGGGGAUCAAACAGGAUUAGAUACCCUGGUAGUCCACGCCGUAACGAUGAGUGCUAAGUGUUAGGGGGUUUCCGCCCCUUAAUGCUGCAGCUAACGCAUUAAGCACUCCGCCUGGGGAGUACGACCGCAAGGUUGAAAAUCAAAGGAAUUGACGGGGACCCGCACCAGCGGUGGAGCCUGUGGUUUAAUUUGAAGCAACGGGAAGAACCUUACCAAAUCUUGACAUCCUUUGACAACUCUAGAGAUAGAGCCUUCCCCUUCGGGGGACAAAGUGACAGGUGGUGCAUGGUUGUCGUCAGCUCGUGUCGUGAGAUGUUGGGUUAAGUCCCGCAACGAGCGCAACCCUUAAGCUUAGUUGC
rnacentral:rRNA from 1 species